CCUACGGGUGGCAGCAGUGGGGAAUUUUGGACAAUGGGGGCAACCCUGAUCCAGCCAUUCCGCGUGAGUGAAGAAGGCCUUCGGGUUGUAAAGCUCUUUCGCAAGGGAAGAAAACUUAUGAUCGAAUAAAUCAUGAGGUUGACGGUACCUUGAUAAGAAGCACCGGCUAACUACGUGCCAGCAGCCGCGGUAAUACGUAGGGUGCGAGCGUUAAUCGGAAUUACUGGGCGUAAAGCGUGCGCAGGCGGUUUUGUAAGUCGGAUGUGAAAUCCCCGGGCUCAACCUGGGAACUGCGUUCGAAACUGCAAGGCUAGAGUGUGUCAGAGGGGGGUAGAAUUCCACGUGUAGCAGUGAAAUGCGUAGAGAUGUGGAGGAAUACCAAUGGCGAAGGCAGCCCCCUGGGAUAACACUGACGCUCAUGCACGAAAGCGUGGGGAGCAAACAGGAUUAGAUACCCUUGUAGUC
rnacentral:rRNA from 1 species